AGCGAUCGUUGGUGAUUUGAGAGCGCGCAUAGUGAUAGAGAGAGAUCGGCUUGCGGAAGCUUCUGCGAGUUCACCAUUGUCGUCGAAGGAGGGGGCGCUAGAGUAGGGCAGCGGCCGUCGUUCACCGAUUCGUCGUCCCGACUGCCGUCGGAGGAGAAGGAGACAGAGAGAGAUCGGCUCGCGGAAGCUUCUACGAGUUCACCCCCGUCGGAGGAGGA
rnacentral:lncRNA from 1 species